AUUUAACGCUGGCGGCAGGCCUAACACAUGCAAGUCGAACGAGUGGCGGACGGGUGAGUAAUGUCUGGGACACUGCCUGAUGGAGGGGGAUAACUACUGGAAAAGGUCGCUAAUACCGCAUACCAUCCGAUGUACCCAGAUGGGAUUAGCUAGUUGGUGUGGUAACGGCUCACCAAGGCGACGAUCCCUAGCUGGUCUGAGAGGAUGACCAGCCACACUGGAACUGGGACACGGCCCAGACUCCUACGGGAGGCAGCAGUGGGGAAUAUUGAACAAUGGGCGCAAGCCUGAUGCAGCCAUGCCGCGUGUAUGAAGAAGGCCUUCGGGUUGUAAAGUACUUUCAGCGGGGAGGCGUUACCCGCAGAAGAAGCACCGGCUAACUCCGUGCCAGCAGCCGCGGUAAUUC
rnacentral:rRNA from 1 species